GUCCAUAUGGUGUACUGGUAAUGUGCUAGUCCCUUAAAGGGCUCGCGUGGGUUCGAACCCCACUUUGGACA